UUCCGACGCAGAGGUGGGAGGUUGGAGGUCGGAGGUCGGAGGUUAGAGGAGUGGAGGGUUACCUGCUUGUCGGGAUGGUGUCGAGCGAGGUUUCUGUGUCUGGAGCCAGGGCUCUGGGCGAAUCGAGGCCCGCGCAGUAAUGAAAGCGAGAGCGCGGGCCGAGUUGGGCCACUCGGGCUUUCGUGCGGGCGCGGCCUGAAUGUGUAGACGUUCCGGACGAGCUGGUGCAGAAGUGACAGCGAAUCGGAAGAUGUGAAGAUGGAAGGGAUCCUGUACAAGUGGACCAAUUACCUGACGGGUUGGCAACCUCGUUGGUUCGUCCUGGAUAAUGGCAUACUUUCCUAUUAUGAUUCUCAGGAUGACGUUAACAAAGGCAGCAAAGGAAGUAUCAAAAUGGCUGUAUGUGAAAUUAAAGUUCAUUCAACAGACAGCACACGAAUGGAAUUAAUUAUUCCUGGAGAGCAGCAUUUCUAUGUGAAAUCAGUCAACGCUGCUGAAAGACAGAGAUGGUUGGUGGCACUAGGAAGUUCAAAAGCUUGUCUCACAGAUACCAGGACUAAAAAGGAAAAAGAAAUCAGUGAAACCAAUGAGUCUCUCAAAACAAAGAUGUCAGAACUUCGGUUGUACUGUGACUUGUUGAUGCAGCAAGUUCAUACGAUACAAGAGUCUGUCAAACAAGACCAGCCGAGUUUAUCUCCUCCUGAGACUAUGAAUGAAGCUUCCUCCUUGCUCAGUGCCACUUGCAAUACAUUCAUUUCAACUCUUGAUGAGUGUAUGAAGAUAGCUAAUGCCAAGUUUAAACCGGAAAUGUUCCAGUUUUCUCUCGCUGAUCCACUUGUCUCUCCUGUAUCACCUUCACCUGUUCAGAUGGUUCGGAUAAAACGAUCCAUUAGUCAUCCAGGUACCAUUCUUUAUGAUGGCAGGAAACUGAACACAAUUUACCAAAAAGAAGCAGUUAUUGUGACACCACAUGAGGAAGUACCCAGGACAAUGUCGGAAUAUUCAGGUGUUGAAUCAAACAGUGAUAGCGCUCUGGACUACGCAGAAAAGACUGCUCAGAUUUCUUGCAAUUCCUUACCUACUGCAAAUGGUGAAUUCCCAUCAGUGGUCAUUCCAGAAGAAAAUGUUGGGAACUCAAGGAAUAAAUUAUCUGAGACAGAGAGUCCUUUUGUUGCACUUUCAAGUUGAAAACAUGUGAAUUAAAAUGGAUUGAAAAGAUGGUCACUCCGCUAAUAUUGCUGUGCAGUUACUGCUGGCAUUUAUAUAUUCCAAUAAGGACAAUUUGCCAGAACACCAAUGUAAAGGGGAGCAACACUUAUGUACUUUGUGAGAAGAUGUACCAAGCUUUGUUUAAAUUUAAACCAGAAUGGACUCACUGAUCAAGGCUUUGCACUGAAGAAUUAACCAAAGAAUGGCUGUCAUCCACUCUGUUUAGUUGAAGCGGGCAUAUUUUGUGUACCUGUUCUUUCUGUUUGCAAGCAACUGAACCAUGUAUAUUAAUAUAAGUAACUUCAGUACACAAAACUAUACUACACUGAGUCUGACUGACCAUCUUAAAUUGUUUGUCAGUGUAAUGUUUAGCACAAUCAGGAUUAUUUAGCAAGUGUUAUUCAUUUGCAGAAUCACAUCUAAUGUUGGGCAAUAGGGUUAGAGUUUUAAAUACAUGGGCUGGUUGGGUGCAGUUAGUAAUGCCAGUCAUCAUCUAACUGUGAUGUUUCUUCCAUUCAGAGUCCAUCUGCCAACCAAUCGGCAUGUUCUUCUCGCACAGUUUAAAAAAGAAGUUGUUCUCCUUUACAUUGAUAUUCUUGUGAAUUGGCUUGAUGAAUGCAAAAUGAAAAUCUUCAAAAUAUAUUUUUUGUCAGUGGCACUUUUUAAAAAAUUAAAUAUAAAUAGCUGGUUAUUCUUUAAUGAAAGCAUUUCUCCAGUAUAGCCAAGAGCAUCUAAUAAUGAGAAUACUUGUGUUGAUAUAUUUUCUGUCCAAGCCAUCAAUGGACACUUUUCAAAACAACUUAACACCUGUUGAUUGUACAUAGAAUAAAUUCCAUUCACGCCAUACAUUUUAUCUGCAGCCUUUUGCAUCUACAUAUGACUCGUAAUUAUUUUUGAACAGUUUUGAAAUUUUCCAUUAACUCCUGAGCAAAUUCUUACCAGUGCCAAAUCCCACUUGUUUCGGUACUCUGCAAAGCCAGAUUUGAUUCUACAUUUUUUCUUUGCAGCAUAUGAUUCCAGCCUGUUUGUACUCACAUUAUAUAUGAAAUGAUGAAACCAUGCCUGGUAUUUAACUACCUUAGGAAACACAUCUUAAGUGCAUCUAAUUUCCUUUAGUUCCCAUGCCAAUGUAAAAUUUGGAAUUCUGAGGACAUAUUGCGCGAGGUAAGAUGAUCCUGUUCUUCAACACAACACUAGAACUUUGUAAUUUAGGAACUCAGUAUUUUCAACGAUAGCAAUAAUGUCUAGAAAAUGAAAGCUUAAAAUGCAGAAAAUUUUUGAUUUUCUCUAAAAUAUCUUCUGAAUUCUGAGAAAAUAAUGUUUAAGCUUGCCAUAAAAUGUAAGUAUUACCCUUUAAUGCAUUCCUGUUUUGACACCAGGACAUUAAUCAAUGUUACAACAUAAUAGACUAUUCAUCUUCUGUUAUAAGGCAUCAAAAUAUCCUACAACAGAUUGCAACAUGGCUUAAAAGUACCUUUCAAAUUGAAAAAUUAUCAUAUUGGAUGGAUAUCUUUUAAGUGCUGCAGCUCAAUUCAGUGACCACUGAGAUCUGUGCCAACUAGCCAAUGAUUUUUAACUUCACAAGUACUGGAAUACUACCAAAUGUAGUUGUUAAAGAUAAAGCAUCUAUGGUAGAAUAGUUAUUUUUUAAAGUCUAGAUGUAUGAUGCAUUGUUAAAUUCUAAUUUAGACUUUUUUGUAGCUCGAAUUUAUUUCUUUCUAAACAAAAUUCCCGCAAGUUCUGUUGUUUCAACCAAGUGGACCAAAAAGUACAUUCAAAUGUAUUAACAAUUUUUAAUAAUGAAAGAAAAUAUUUUUGGUGUGUAUAUGUGUGUAUAUAUAUACACUGAGGGAAUACUUAACUGAAGUAUCUUUGUAUACUUUUAUUGAAGGUUUAAUUGUCCACAGUACUGAAAAGAUGAUCUGUAUUGUAAGAAUAAAAACUUGCUCUUGCCAUUUGUCUAUGAUUUCUUACCUUGUUCCCGAUGUGAAUUCUAAUUGAUCAAAUAAAAG